rnacentral:rRNA from 1 species
GUCGAGAAUCAUUCACAAUGGGGGAAACCCUGAUGGUGUGACGCCGCGUGGAGGAUGAAGGUCUUCGGAUUGUAAACUCCUGUCAUGUGGGAGUAAAGCCGGGUGUUAAAUGCAUGCCGGUCUGAGAGUACCACAAGAGGAAGGGACGGCUAACUCUGUGCCAGCAGCCGCGGUAAUACAGAGGUCCCAAGCGUUGUUCGGAAUCACUGGGCGUAAAUGGUGCGUAGGCGGCGCGGAAAGUCAGGGGUGAAAUCCAGGGGUUCAACUCCGGAACUGCCUUUGAUACUCCCGCGCUUGAGAACUGGAGGGGAGACCGGAAUUCACGGUGGAGCAGUGAAAUGCGUGGAUAUCGUGAGGAACACUAGUGGCGAAGGCGGGUCUCUGGACAGUAUCUGACGCUGAGGCACGAAGGCCAGGGGAGCGAACGGGAUUAGAAACCCGGGUAGUCC